rnacentral:antisense_RNA from 1 species
GUAAGCGCGUAGCGUCCGCUGGCACAGCGCCGAACGCACGCAAUCAUCUUUUCCAAAUCGGACGAUCCCAACCAUCUCAUCUUCCUCAAAGCGUUCCAGCGCGUCACUUAAGCCAGAGCGUACCCCGCGAGGUAAAUCGCAUUGCGUGAUAUCACCGUUGACGAUAACCGUCACGUUCUCCCCGAGGCGGGU